UUAGCUGGUUGACUUCGGGUCAAAUUGGUUUUAAUAACAUUUGGUCCCCUUCAACCAGCUGUGGUUGACAUUGCAAGCGUCGAGUUUUUUUGACGGAACCAGUAACAAGAGGGAAUUUGGCAGAGUUUGAAGUUUGAAGGUCUCCGGAAAACAGAGAGGUAGAUUAUGCUGUUCACCGAAGAAAGAAAUUUGCCAAUGGAGAAGAAUGUAUUUACUAUAAUUGUAAAACAAGUUAUUCAAAAGACACUACAACUGCGUGGAAUUGACAAAAAAAGGAAUUCCAGUCACGGAGUUACUUCAAGGGCCUGCCAUAACAAAAAUGUCGUCUCAACUGCCUGGAAUAAUUUCGUUCUAUUAAUGAAAUUUCAGAUACUUUACUGAUUAUUUUAUUUGACGCACUUGAGGUUAAUCUGUGACAUUGUCUCAACUGCCUGGAAUUGACAAAAACAAUGGAAAUUCCAGACAGUUAAGCUUACGUCAUGGAGGUACUUCAAGUGCCCGAAAUAACAAAAAUGUUGUUUCAACUUCCUGGAAUAAUUUUGUUCUAUUAAUAAAAUUUCAAACACUUGAGUGAUUAUUUUUAUUUCAGGCACUAGAGGUUAAUUUGUGACACUGUCUCAACUGCAUGGAAUUGACAAACAAAAUAGGAAUUCCAGGCGGUUAAGCAUAAGUCACGCAGUAACUUCAAGCGCCUGAAGUAACAAAAAUGUUGUCUCAACUGCCUGGGAUAAUUUUUAUUUUUAUUAAUGAAAUUUCAAUUAUUAUUGUUUAUUUUAUUUUAGCCACUUCAGGUUAAUCUGACAAAUUGAUAAAAAAAAUAGAAUUCCAGGCAGAAGUUAGACUCACGUCACUAUUUGGGAGUUUUUUACUUAGUAUUCUUGUCUCUUUCAUUAUAAGCACUUAAAGUAAGUCUUUUUUUUUCACUUUCUGUUGUUUUCAUCUAAUUGUAUUCAUUCUCCUCUGGCUAUCCCUAUUUACAUCCUUUCUUACCUUACCUUUAUCAAUCUUUCUUCAUCUGAACCUUUAACUCAAUUGAAAUGAAAUUACUUCU